ACUUCACACUGCACUUAUUUCACUUCAUGGAAGAAAUUAAAUCAUCAUCAACUCAAGUGAGAUGGCAAUAAAAAUGUGAGACUGACCACAAGGCAAAACACAACACAAUUUGGUUCAAAACUAGGACUGUAAGUGAUUGGUUUCAUUUUUAUCAAAAGUAAAAGUGGAACAGAUAAUGACUAAGAGUUGAAGAUUCUAAAAGAACACAAAUCUGGAGAAUGUGUGUCCCUUCUGAAGUAGAGAGCUGAUUGCCGGGAUUCCUGGGCGACAGACCCCUGAGCCAGGGCAGGCAUAGUGCCGUGGCUGGAAUAAAGGGACAAAUAAAGGGUCAAGACAGACAGAAAGGGUUCAUGUCUCCAUGGAGCCUGGCUGUGUGCAAGACAAUCAGAGAAGAGGUCUUCAUCUGAUUUUUCAUGGAGUCCCUUGUGCUACCUCAUAGUAGGAGGCAAAAAAAAAUUUUUUUCUUUAAAUCCCUAAACAGAGAAGAAAAAUUCACUGAGAGAUAAAAC
rnacentral:lncRNA from 1 species